rnacentral:sRNA from 1 species
CUGCCCAGGACCCUCUGCCUGCCUCCCCCAGAGCCCAGCGCCUUCAGAGCCCUCUGCAGAAGGUUUGGCACAGGGCGGCCCAUCUGUGUGUCCGUUCCACCCAGGAGCUUCUCGGCACUGUGCCGGAGUGGUCAGGGUUGCUCUGUCAUCUGCCCACAGUGUACUAUGAGGGGCUGCAGGACAAGCUGGCACAGAUCCGCGAUGCCCGGGGGGCGCUGAGUGCCCUGCGCGAAGAGCACCGGGAGAAGCUUCGCCGAGCAGCCGAGGAGGCAGAGCGCCAGCGCCAGAUCCAGCUGGCCCAGAAGCUGGAGAUAAUGCGGCAGAAGAAGCAGGGGCCUCUCUUGGCAGCCACAGCCAAGGGUGGAGGCUUCAGGUCUCCAGCUUCUCUGCUUCUCAGCUGUCAUCUCCAGUGCCCCAGAAUGGUACAGCGAUAAUAAAAUGUAUUUCAG